UGGGUAAAGUCGUAACAAGGUUUCCGUAGGUGAACCUGCGGAAGGAUCAUUACAAAUCCCUAAUUAUUAAAUGACAGGUCUGUGAUUAAUUGAAUGUCUUGUUGAUCGGGUGGCUACUCCUGGUCUUCAGAUAUUCAUAUAUAUAUAUAUAUAACGCUGGUCACAAAAGGCCUUGUGAACCAGUGAAUGAAAUAUAUAGAAACCGCGAAUCAAAAUGGAAAGGCUGAGGACGAUGAUCAUUUACUGGUCAUCGUGGUCAUUAUAUAAUAAAUGGAAUUGAGGGAGGGACCUUCUGGGUCCGCGGCUAAGGGCCAUGCCUGGGGCUUAUACCGUGUGUGGAUUUAUUCCAUAUACGUCUACAUG
rnacentral:rRNA from 1 species